rnacentral:rRNA from 1 species
AGUGAACGCUGGCGGUAGGCCUAACACAUGCCAGUCGAACGGCAGCACAGUAAGAGCUUGCUCUUACGGGUGGCGAGUGGCGGACGGGUGAGGAAUACAUCGGAAUCUACUUUUUCGUGGGGGAUAACGUAGGGAAACUUACGCUAAUACCGCAUACGCCCUACGGGUGAAAGCAGGGGAUCUUCGGACCUUGCGCGAUUGAAUGAGCCGAUGUCGGAUUAGCUAGUUGGCGGGGUAAAGGCCCACCAAGGCGACGAUCCGUAGCUGGUCUGAGAGGAUGAUCAGCCACACUGGAACUGAGACACGGUCCAGACUCCUACGGGAGGCAGCAGUGGGGAAUAUUGGACAAUGGGCGCAAGCCUGAUCCAGCCAUACCGCGUGGGUGAAGAAGGCCUUCGGGUUGUAAAGCCCUUUUGUUGGGAAAGAAAAGCAGCAGGUUAAUACCCCGCUGUUCUGACGGUACCCAAAGAAUAAGCACCGGCUAACUUCGUG